rnacentral:rRNA from 1 species
UACAGAGGUCCCGAGCGUUGUUCGGAUUCACUGGGCGUAAAGGGUGCGUAGGUGGUGGGAUAAGUCGGAUGUGAAAUCUCGGAGCUCAACUCCGAAACUGCGCUUGAUACUGCUCGGCUAGAGGAUCGGAGGGGGUAACGGAAUUCAUGGUGUAGCAGUGAAAUGCGUAGAUAUCAUGAGGAACACCGGUGGCGAAGGCGGUUACCUGGAAGAUUCCUGACUCUGAAACACGAAAGCCAGGGGAGCAAACGGG